rnacentral:tRNA from 1 species
GCCUGGGUGGCUUAGACGGUGAAGCAACUGACUUCUGAUCAGGUUGUGAUCUCACAGUUUGUGGGUUCAAGCCCCGCGUCGGGCU